AAUGACUAUUGUAACACUACAGAGAGUAGCCUACGUUGGACCGGGGGUCUGGGCCCUCACCAAUGGCUGUAUGAAUGGGAAAAGUCAUCGAUCACGUGACACCAUUCAUUCCUAUGUGAAGAAUCAAUGGGAGUGUUAGAGCGGUAAGCCCAACUAAACCGACUAGACGAAAGUCAGCAAGUGAAAUCGGGGGAGGUGCAUCUGCAAUAGCCAAAAGUCGGACACCAUAGUGCCUUCAAACUCAACUCUGAUUUAGACCUGGAACACCAGGUUGGAACCAACAUGCAGUACCUCCAGCUGGAAUAGAGGCAAGAACCAUUUGUCCGCUAGCUCAGGGACAAGCUACACUAUUCACAGCCCUGUGUAAUGUUCGAUGUAAUUGCAUUGGUUGACUUUUUGAAACUUCUUGUAUUUGUAUUUAUUUUUUUAAUGUAAA